rnacentral:rRNA from 1 species
UACGUAGGGAGCAAGCGUUGUCCGGAUUUACUGGGUGUAAAGGGUGCGUAGGCGGCUCUGCAAGUCAGGUGUGAAAACUAUGGGCUUAACCCAUAGACUGCAUUUGAAACUGUGGAGCUUGAGUGAAGUAGAGGCAGGCGGAAUUCCCGGUGUAGCGGUGAAAUGCGUAGAGAUCGGGAGGAACACCAGUGGCGAAGGCGGCCUGCUGGGCUUUAACUGACGCUGAGGCACGAAAGCAUGGGUAG